rnacentral:rRNA from 1 species
CCUACGGGAGGCAGCAGUGGGGAAUCUUGGACAAUGGGCGAAAGCCUGAUCCAGCAAUGCCGCGUGCGUGAAGAAGGCCUUCGGGUUGUAAAGCGCUUUUGUCUGGGAGCAAAUCCUGGCCUCUAAUACAGGUCGGGGAUGAGAGUACCAGAAGAAUAAGGACCGGCUAACUACGUGCCAGCAGCCGCGGUAAU